CGUAUAACUCACUAAUAAGAUUUCAUGGAAUAUGAAAAAUGUUUAAAUAAACAUGUUGUAUAAGAAUGAAUAGAAGAUAUAACUUAGUUAGAAUAAAUGUGAAAUAUUGCAUUAUAAAAUAAACUAUGACCAAAGUUUAGGCAAACAUAUAAAUGGAGGGGCUAAACAUGUACAAGGAAAAAGAUAUUUACUAAAAGCAAAAUAAGGAAAAACAAACACACACAUCUGGCGUGUGUGUGUGUGUCGCCCCAAGCAGGAGAAAAAGAGGAGAAACCCUAAAAUCCUUGAAGUUGCAAAAUUGAGAAGGGAAAUUGAAGCUAAUCAUAUGCAUGAAUCUGAAUGUGCAACCAUUUAAGCCUACUAAACAAGUGGCAUAGGGAUCAUGUGGAAAUGGACUCAAGAACGGAAGGUUAACGGGUUAAGCGGAGGCGAGGAAGCAAGCAUGAACACUAACGCUCGAGGUAUACAAAUAAUGGAAGUUGUAGGUUUGACACAAAAAUCCAAUGAUGGUGUUCGAAUGGAUGGAUGAAUGGAUUAACAUAAGCGAAAGCAUGAGAUGUCGACGCCUAACUAUGUAUGUUUAAAACUUAUGUAUGAUGUGACUGGUUGCUAACGAUGUGAUUGUAUGUGGUGUCUACAGGUUGCGUGGAUUUAGCAUCAUUAUGAAGGAUAGAAAGAUUGAAGAUCGAGUCAAGAGCAAAGGAUUGUACGGGAAAGAUCGGUCACAUAGUUUAGCAAAUGUAGAUCCGAAGUAUUAAUAUAAUGGUACAUGGUAAAUCCUUUUUAAUGAAUGUAUGACAUUUGAUAUUCGAACUUUCCUGUAAGUACUAUGUCUAUUAAAGAACGAAAUUUUUGGGUUCAUAUUUUCCGCUGUGUUGUAUUUUUUUUAAGUUAUUACAAGUUAGUCUUACAGGGAAUUGUUCAUAAUACGAAUAGGUCAUGCCCGAUUUUUGUUAAAUUAUAGCAUGAUAAUAUUACUUUCGGAUUAAGAAUUUUGGGCGUUACAAGUUGGUAUCAGAGCCCUGGUUUGAGCGAAAUCAAGUAUGAGGAAGUAAAUACUUGAACUCAAACCUGUGUGCUCUUGUGACAAGAAACCCGUACAAUCCAAGACUCGAUCAAGAUCUAAGGGUAGAAGCCAAGGUAAGUAUGUCCUUAAGUAUAUAUUGGAAGAUAAUUAACAAUAUGUUAUGUGUAAGUUAAGCAUGGUUGCUUGGAAGGAAUGAUUUGUGGAUGCGGUCUAGCACCGGCACCAAGGUAUGUAAUAUGACAUAUUGACCCAGGUAUAUAUAUCUAAUAUAUGUAAGUACAUGUGAUGGUAAAACCAAUCAAUGAAAGGAAAAUUUUAAAUAAAUAAAAAAAAUGGUAAGAAGGGUAAUGAAGUUUUGGAAUUGUUAUACGUGCCGAAACCUAAUUCUUCGGACAUAAGGUGACAAUUACACGAAGACACGAAACUAGUAUGUUGAUUGUGUACCUGGCCAGUACACAAGAAACAUAUGACGUUCGUGAGCCCGUGAUAAUUGUUACAGGUGUGUCCGUUAGAAUUGGGUAGCAGGUGGGCGUAUGGGUGAAAUGGGUAGUAAGACUAUCAGGAGAUUUAGAGUAAUACGUAAGAGUGAAAAGUGCGAAUGAUAAGAAGGAAGAAUGUUGAAUCCGUAAGAAAGUACGAAUCAACAAUGUAUGAAUGCAAUGCUUGAAUCCGCGAGACGGAUUCAAGGGAUGAAAGGCGUAAAUGAUCUGUUUGAAUCCGCGAGACGGAUUCAAAGAAUGAAAGAUAUGAAUGUAAUGCCUGAAUUCGCGAGACGGAUUCAAGGAAUGAAAAGCACGAAUGAAAUGUUUGAAUCCGAGAGGCGGAUUCAAAGAACGAAAGAUGUAAAUGCAAUGUUUGAAUCCGCGAGACGGAUUCAAAAGAUAGAAGGUACGAAAGGUAUGAAUAAUGUGUUCGAAUCCGCGAAACAGAUUUAAGAUACAAAAGACGGAACUAGUCUACGUGAGAAGAAGUCGAUAGCUUGACCAUGUAUGCGUCAAACAAGUCAUAUAAGUAAAUGUAAAGCAAAUGAACAAAAGAAUGAUAGGAAUGAAAAUAUCCGAAUGUGUAAGUAAUUACGGACCAGACAAGUAAAUAUUUCUUAAGUGAUAUGAUUCAAAUUAUGCUUAAAUUUUCAUGUAUAGAUAUAUGAAUAUAUUUAUGCAAAUGCGUUGUAUGCAAGAAUGGUCGAAAGGAUAAAUGGGUCAUACGGUCAGAUGGCGAUUGCCAUUUGAACUCGUUAGUUAAUGUUUUGAUAUGUUAAGUUUUGUAUUCAUAGGUGAGAUUGAUGAAUGGACACGCAAUGUCAUCAAUCGGAAAGGAAUGAUCACCGUAAGAUAAGGAUGGCGAAUCAAUGGAAUCUACUUCCGUCAGAUAUCAUAGUGUGAUAAACCUAUCAAGAUCAGUGAAAGAAUUCUCAUAAGCGAAAGCUCAUUACCCGGAUGAAUGAGAUCAAUCCUGGGAUGGGUUGAAUUUGUAAUGAAGUGGUCGGUUCGCUUUCGCGGGUCGUGGCAUUAUUCCAAAAUAGUAAGGCAUAGGGAUCAUGUGGAAAUGGACUCAAGAACGGAAGGUUAACGGGUUAAGCGGAGGCGAGGAAGCAAGCAUGAACACUAACGCUCGAGGUAAGUGAUUCUAAUUUCACUUUUUAGCUUGUUUAAAUAAGGUAUUCUUCUAAGAUAAAUGAGUAUGUUACGAAGUCAAACAUGGAUUUGGUUGAAUGAAAACGAUGGUUCUCGCUAAGUAGAUCGAAUGUGUCAAAUGAAGUUUUGUUGUCAUAACAUAAUGAAGUGUAAGUAAGUUCUGAACCUCUUUUUUUAGUAUUUAGAAAGAUUUGUUAAUUUUGUCAUAUGUUGCGAAUAAUGAGAUAUGUAAGAACGUAAGAUCAAAUGAAGUUCUAAGUUAAGUUUUGUGGUAAUGGGUCAAAGAUGUUAACUAAGUCGAAAAGUGUGUAUUAAAGAUCAAACGGGUCAAAAACUAGGUAGCGGGGUAAGGUAAGGAUUCGACCAUUAAGGCAUGAGUGUUAGUAUUAGAAUGAUUUAGGGGCUUGGACAAAUGUUAUUUUACGUUUUGGGACGCUCGGGGUGCACGAACAGGGGUCGAAACGGUGAAAAUAAGCAAAAAACGGAGAGCAGAUCUGCAGAGGGGCGUCCCCGACGCCGCUACCAGCGUCGCCGACGCUGGUGGGUUUUGGCCGACGCCCUAUGUUGCUAGUUAAGUCAGUUUCUUUGUUUUCUUUGAUUCUUGGGCCCCGUAAGCCCAUUCCUAAGCCCCGUUAGACCCCCGUCAUGCACCCUAACUUUACCAAAUAGUUGUGUGAGUUAUGGAUGAGUAAGGAACCCGUUUUAAAGUUUCCGAAAUGCAACCCAAAUUUAAGAGAGAGUUUUUAUCAAGUAUGGGUAAGAAGGGAACUUGCUCGUGGGUAUGCAUAAGGAUAAAAUAAGUAGUUAUACAUGUGGGUAUGUGUUUGAUUGUACGUAAGUAAUUGGAACUCGUAGGUGAGUAUGACUAUGAACGCGUAAGUAUGGAGAUUUAUAUGUAUGUAAUUUACAUGUAUAGACGUGUGUGUUUAGGACUUGCACGUAAUAUUGUGUAAGAUGUAAAUUGUAAGUAUUUGUACGAACAGAAAGGUAUGUAUGCAUGGAUUGGAAUUUAAAUAUAUGCACGAAUGAAUGAGACUUGUUUAUGCGUAUAUGUGGACUUAUUCAUAUGAAUGAAAUCUAACGAUGCUAACCGUUUUUCUAUUGAGAAUGAAAUGGAAGCACAGGUAUACAAAUAAUGGAAGUUGUAGGUUUGACACAAAAAUCCAAUGAUGGUGUUCGAAUGGAUGGAUGAAUGGAUUAACAUAAGCGAAAGCAUGAGAUGUCGACGCCUAACUAUGUUGAAGAUCGAGUCAAGAGCAAAGGAUUGUACGGGAAAGAUCGGUCACAUAGUUUAGCAAAUGUAGAUCCGAAGUAUUAAUAUAAUGGUACAUGGUAAAUCCUUUUUAAUGAAUGUAUGACAUUUGAUAUUCGAACUUUCCUGUAAGUACUAUGUCUAUUAAAGAACGAAAUUUUUGGGUUCAUA